rnacentral:rRNA from 1 species
GAUGAACGCUGGCGGCGUGCCUAAUACAUGCAAGUCGAGCGAACAGACGAGGAGCUUGCUCCUCUGACGUUAGCGGCGGACGGGUGAGUAACACGUGGAUAACCUACCUAUAAGACUGGGAUAACUUCGGGAAACCGGAGCUAAUACCGGAUAAUAUAUUGAACCGCAUGGUUCAAUAGUGAAAGACGGUUUUGCUGUCACUUAUAGAUGGAUCCGCGCCGCAUUAGCUAGUUGGUAAGGUAACGGCUUACCAAGGCAACGAUGCGUAGCCGACCUGAGAGGGUGAUCGGCCACACUGGAACUGAGACACGGUCCAGACUCCUACGGGAGGCAGCAGUAGGGAAUCUUCCGCAAUGGGCGAAAGCCUGACGGAGCAACGCGGCGUGAGUGAUGAAGGUCUUCGGAUCGUAGAACUCUGUUAUUAGGGAAGAACAAAUGUGUAAGUAACUAUGCACGUCUUGACGGUACCUAAUCAGAAAGCCACGGCUAACUACGUGC